GGAAGAAGAAAAGAAAGAAGAAAGCAAUCUCUAACUCUCUCUCACGCGAAAGCUCCGACUCCUUCGGCACAGCUUCUUUCCGACGUCAUUAACAGUAUUCGACUUGUUUGACAAAAAGCAUAAUGGAGUUCCUGGAUUUGAGGAGUUCGCCCGUGCACUCUCUGUAAUAGUACAAAGGUCAAAGAAGAAUGGGACACAAAAAGAAGGAUUGCUUGAAGUAUAAGAAAUGGCUUGAGAAGAAAGGGAUUUCUCAACCUAAGGAAAUCAAUACGAAAUGACCAAAGUAUCUAUUCAGGCAACCAGAUGCGUUCACAAGUGGAGGCUGUUGGAAUUUUCAGACUUGUUUUCAAGAAUGGCUAUGUUUUAGAGUCUUAGACCUUGAAAUUACAUUUUAUGUUCCAUCUUUCAGUAGAAAUUUAGUUUUUAUUUCAAAAUUAGUUCCUUUAGGUUAUGUUUUUAUUUUCAGCAAAUCAAGUUUUUCUGUUACGAAAAACAAUAUAAUUGUUGGAGGUGGUUAUUUAGAUAAUGGUUUAUAUAAAUUCGAUCUUG